UCCUUUUUAUCAUUAUGAUGAAAUGAAUAUAUAUUGUGGUUGAUUUUAUUUAUGUUUUUUUAUUUUUAUCAUUAGUUAUUACGUCGAGAGGCGUAACCUUACAAUUGCAAGCAUCUGUCAUAAUUACGUCGAGAGGCGUAACCUUACAAUCGCAGGAAUCAGUCAUAAACUUUUAUUCCUUUCUCUCCUUAAAUGUAGGCCACGAUAGUUAUCCGUCAUAAACUUUUAUUCCUUCUCUCCUUAAAUGUAGGCCACGAUAGUUAUCACCACCGUUCAACGUUAUGCUCUACCAAUAAUAAUGAUGCCAGUUUACACGUGUCUUCUUUGUAAUGCAAGGAGAGACAGUUAUGAUACGGGUGGAAGCUUCGAAUUUUCAUGCCAACCUUCCAAUUUGCAUGAUAUCGAUUACAAAGGCUUCCACACUUACCAUUUGAAAACAUUUAAUCGCGUAGCUCUGUGAACUUCAGCUUGAAUCUUUUUGCACUUUAUAUUUGAUAACAUCCUAUCAACUACUUUGUGGAGCGAACUUGACAUUGAAUCUCUUCAUACAGAGAAUCAAAGUUGCACUUUGGCUUCUUCUCAAUAUCCACUAACGUGCGCGGCUCUGCGAAUUUGACACUGAAUCGCUUCACUAUUUAUGAGCUAAUUUCGUUUGGGAAAAUAAUUUUUUCUUUAUAAUUUCGAUAUUCGAGAGGCGUACACUACAAUGGCAGCCAUUCUGUGUAAAGUUUUAUUUGUCCUCAGAUUAAAUCUAGGAAAUAAUUUUCAUUAGCAUCGUUGAAUGAGAAUAUUACCCUAAGUUCAUGCACAGUAAUGCCAUCUGCUAUAAACUCAAUGUAAUAUUGUAACUUUAAAUGUAAAUUUGCCGAAUUAGUAUUUUUGCAACCGAUGAAGAUUGAAAUAAAAAACGGUUACCGCUUCAGAUUUGCAUUAUAUACGCUUCGGAUUCGCAUAUAAUACCGUUUUCUUGCGUACUAAAGAGUUGCAUUUACGAAACAGCAGUAUUAACGUUGCAUUUCAGUUUUUCCUCCUUCAUAGUUUUCAGAUUGUAAUCGGCUAACAUUAUAUUCUUUAAAUGAUCAUAGCAAUUCUCAUCUCCCAUCUUCAGUUUUGAACAUCGAACUGCUUGCAAUAAAGAACUGCUCAAUUUGUGUAUUUGGAUGUAAAGAAUUUUCUUUCGAAUUUCAGGAAUCGACUAUCAACUUUGUAAUAAUUAAUUUGUAGAGAUGUAAGUUUAUUUUGUACACUGUACUCUCAAUUUUACUGUUUCAGUUUUAUUGUGCUAUGUUUAUGUUUCCGCAUCUUGCAUGCAUGUCUAACAGAGUAUUUUUAACUAUAAUGUCUGAUGAAAAUCUCCAUGCAAUUAUGUUUUGAUGCAUCUCCAUGCCCUAUUGAAAAGCUCCCAUUUUCACAUAGGUAGGGAGAACACUGGUAAAGAAUCUGGCUUUUAACUUCCAAUCCCAUUUGUGGAAAGUUUUGACAGCCUUUUCAACAAAUCCA